ACGAAGGGGGCAAGCGUUGUUCGGAAUUACUGGGCGUAAAGGGCGCGUAGGCGGCCGAUCAAGUCAGGCGUGAAAUUCCCGGGCUCAACCUGGGGGCUGCGUUAGAUACUGAUUGGCUUGAAUGCGGGAGAGGAUAGUGGAAUUCCCAGUGUAGAGGUGAAAUUCGUAGAUAUUGGGAAGAACACCAGUGGCGAAGGCGGCCAUCUGGACUGCAACUGACGCUGAGGCGCGAAAGCGUGGGGAGCAAACAGGA
rnacentral:rRNA from 1 species